rnacentral:sRNA from 1 species
GUAGAAAUUGGACCUGUAAUCCCAGCACUUUGGGAGGCCAAGGUGGGAGGAUUGCUUAAGCCCAGGAGGUCAAGGCUGCAGUGUGCCACUGCAGUCUAGCCUAGACAACAGAGUGAGACCCUGUCUCAAAAAAAAAAAAAAAAAAAAAAAAUUGGAAAUUUGUUGUAUCUGUGUAGGUAUGUGAUUCUUUGGAUAAAUGAUUCACUGUAUCUUCCUCAAAACUAGGUUAUUUGAAAGACUAAGAUCAUUCAACUGAUUGCACUGACUGCCAACUAAUUUUGCAGGAGAUGUUGCAGUAAAGAUCCUAAAGGUUGUCGACCCAACCCCAGAGCAAUUCCAGGCCUUCAGGAAUGAGGUGGCUGUUCUGCGCAAAACACGGCAUGUGAACAUUCUGCUUUUCAUGGGGUACAUGACAAAGGACAACCUGGCAAUUGUGACCCAGUGGUGCGAGGGCAGCAGCCUCUACAAACACCUGCAUGUCCAGGAGACCAAGUUUCAGAUGUUCCAGCUAAUUGACAUUGCCCGGCAGACGGCUCAGGGAAUGGACUAUUUGCACGCAAAGAACAUCAUCCAUAGAGACAUGAAAUCCAACAGUAUCCUUUGGUUG